rnacentral:rRNA from 1 species
CCUACGGGGGGCUGCAGUGGGGAAUAUUGGACAAUGGGGGGAACCCUGAUCCAGCCAUGCCGCGUGUGUGAAGAAGGCCCUCGGGUUGUAAAGCACUUUCAGUGAGGAAGAACGCCUGGUGGUUAAUACCCAUCAGGAAAGACAUCACUCACAGAAGAAGCACCGGCUAACUCCGUGCCAGCAGCCGCGGUAAUACGGAGGGUGCGAGCGUUAAUCGGAAUUACUGGGCGUAAAGCGCGCGUAGGUGGCUUGAUAAGCCGGUUGUGAAAGCCCCGGGCUCAACCUGGGAACGGCAUCCGGAACUGUCAAGCUAGAGUGCAGGAGAGGAAGGUAGAAUUCCCGGUGUAGCGGUGCAAUGCGUAGAGAUCGGGAGGAAUACCAGUGGCGAAGGCGGCCUUCUGGACUGACACUGACACUGAGGUGCGAAAGCGUGGGUAGCAAACAGGAUUAGAUACCCUUGUAGUC